CUGGUUGAUCCUGCCAGUAGCAUACGCUUGUCUCAAAGAUUAAGCCAUGCAUGUCUAAGUAUAAAUAACUCUAUACUGUGAAACUGCGAAUGGCUCAUUAUAUCAGUUAUAGUUUAUUUGAUAGUCCCUUACUACUUGGAUAACCGUAGUAACUCUAGAGCUAAUACAUGCGUCAAGUCCCGACUGUGGGGCAACCUGCGGAAAGGAUGUAUUUAUUAGAUCCAACCAACCCGGUUUCGGCCGGUGCCUGGUGAAUCAUGAUAACUGAGCGAAUCGCAUGGCCUUGCGCCGGCGAUGGUUCAUUCAAGUUUCUGCCCUAUCAGCUUUCGAUGGUAGGGUAUUGGCCUACCAUGGCAUUAACGGGUAACGGAGAAUUAGGGUUCGAUUCCGGAGAGGGAGCCUGAGAAACGGCUACCACAUCCAAGGAAGGCAGCAGGCGCGUAAAUUACCCAAUCCUGACACAGGGAGGUAGUGACAAUAAAUAUCAAUACGGGACCUUUUGGUUUCGUAAUUGGAAUGAGUGCAAGCCAAACAUCUGCACGAGGAACAAUUGGAGGGCAAGUCUGGUGCCAGCAGCCGCGGUAAUUCCAGCUCCAAUAGCGUAUAUUAAAGUUGUUGCAGUUAAAAAGUUCGUAGUUGAAUGUCUGGGCCCGGGUGCGGUCGGCCUUUGUGCCUGUACUAGCAUUCCGGCGUCCAUCCUUGCAGAGAAGCGGUGGUGGGGUUCGCUCCGCUGCCUGUCUGACCUGCAUCAAUUACUGUGAACAAACUAGGGUGUUUAAAGCGGGCAGGACUGCUUGAAUACAUUAGCAUGGAAUAAUGAGAUAGGACUCCGGUGCUAUUUCGUUGGUUGCGUACCAGAGUAAUGAUUAACAGGGACAGUUGGGGGUAUUCAUAUUUGAAUGUCAGAGGUGAAAUUCUUGGAUUUUUCAAAGAUGAACAACUGCGAAAGCAUUUACCAAGGAUGCUUUCAUUAAUCAAGAUCGAAAGUCAGGGGAUCGAAGAGGAUUAGAUACCCUCGUAGUCUUGACCAUAAACUAUGCCGACUCAGGAUUGGCGGUGUACUUCAAUGCCUCCGCCAGCACUGUAUGAAAAAUCAAAGUCUUUGGGUUCCGGGGGGAGUAUGGUCGCAAGGCUGAAACUUAAAGGAAUGGACGGAAGGGCACCACCAGGAGUGGAGCCUUCGGCUUAAUGUGACUCUACACGGGGAAACUUACCAGGUCCAGACAUAGUAAGGAUUGACAGAUUGAUAGCUCUUUCUUGACUCUAUGGGUGGUGGUGCAUGGCCGUUCUUAGUUGGUGGAGUGAUUUGUCUGGUUAAUUCCGAUAACGAACGAGACCUCCGCCUGCUAAAUAGUCACGUGGUGCCUUUGGCACCCACGGAUUUCGACUUCUUAGAGGGACUAUGGGCGGUAAGCUCAUGGAAGUUGGAGGCAAUAACAGGUCUGUGAUGCCCUUAAAUGUUCUGGGCCGCACGCGCGCUACACUGACUGGUUCAGAGAGUUCCACCCUGUGCUCGAAAGGCAUGGGUAAUCUGUGAAUGCCAGUCGUGAUGGGGAUAGAUUCCAGCAAUGACAAUCUUCAACGAGGAAUUCCUAGUAAGCGCAAGUCAUCAACUUGCACUGAUUACGUCCCUGCCCUUUGUACACACCGCCCGUCGCACCUACCGAUUGAAUGGUCCGGUGAACUUUCGGAUCGUGGCGGGCUGCAUCCUUGUGGUGCGCCCGCCGUGAAAAGUCAUUUAAACCUUAUCAUUUAGAGGAAGGUGAAGUCGUAACAAGGUUUCCGUAGGUGACCUGCAUAGGCGAUGUCCAGCACACUGGCGCCGUUAUACGUGAGCCGGCUCGUACCAGCUGCUUGCACAGGCCUCUUUGUCUUUUUUUCCUC
rnacentral:rRNA from 1 species